AGAUCUUUACUUAAAGACAAAGAAAGCUGUACAUAUAUGCAUGCAAUCAGCACAUGCCUCCCCCUGGAGCCAAACACUGAGGUCUGGACAUGACCCCCAUUAGAUGAAGGGGACUGAAGUCUACAUGUCUUCAUCUGUGAUCUUUGCUAAGAACACAACAGCCAUCCUCUGGAUUCUUCUGCAAACCUCAGAAGAGGAGAAAACCCCCAUGCUAGACGGGGUUGAAUUUCCUGCCUUCACCCCACCAAACCUUGGAGGAUGAGGAGGGCUCAGUCAAAACUAAGACCACAUA